rnacentral:rRNA from 1 species
UCGAUUCCCUUAGUAGCGGCGAGCGAAACGGGAAGAGCCCAAACCAACAAGCUUGCUUGUUGGGGUUGUAGGACACUCUAUACGGAGUUACAAAGGACGACAUUAGACGAAUCAUCUGGAAAGAUGAAUCAAAGAAGGUAAUAAUCCUGUAGUCGAAAAUGUUGUCUCUCUUGAGUGGAUCCUGAGUACGACGGAGCACGUGAAAUUCCGUCGGAAUCUGGGAGGACCAUCUCCUAAGGCUAAAUACUCUCUAGUGACCGAUAGUGAACCAGUACCGUGAGGGAAAGGUGAAAAGCACCCCGGAAGGGGAGUGAAAUAGAACCUGAAACCGUGUGCUUACAAGUAGUCAGAGCCCGUUAAUGGGUGAUGGCGUGCCUUUUGUAGAAUGAACCGGCGAGUUACGAUUUGAUGCAAGGUUAAGCAGUAAAUGUGGAGCCGUAGCGAAAGCGAGUCUGAAUAGGGCGUUUAGUAUUUGGUCGUAGACCCGAAACCAGGUGAUCUACCCUUGGUCAGGUUGAAGUUCAGGUAACACUGAAUGGAGGACCGAACCGACUUACGUUGAAAAGUGAGCGGAUGAACUGAGGGUAGCGGAGAAAUUCCAAUCGAACCUGGAGAUAGCUGGUUCUCUCCGAAAUAGCUUUAGGGCUAGCCUCAAGUGAUGAUUAUUGGAGGUAGAGCACUGUUUGGACGAGGGGCCCCUCUCGGGUUACCGAAUUCAGACAAACUCCGAAUGCCAAUUAAUUUAACUUGGGAGUCAGAACAUGGGUGAUAAGGUCCGUGUUCGAAAGGGAAACAGCCCAGACCACCAGCUAAGGUCCCAAAAUAUAUGUUAAGUGGAAAAGGAUGUGGCGUUGCCCAGACAACUAGGAUGUUGGCUUAGAAGCAGCCAUCAUUUAAAGAGUGCGUAAUAGCUCACUAGUCGAGUGACACUGCGCCGAAAAUGUACCGGGGCUAAACAUAUUACCGAAGCUGUGGAUUGUCCUUUGGACAAUGGUAGGAGAGCGUUCUAAGGGCGUUGAAGCAUGAUCGUAAGGACAUGUGGAGCGCUUAGAAGUGAGAAUGCCGGUGUGAGUAGCGAAAGACGGGUGAGAAUCCCGUCCACCGAUUGACUAAGGUUUCCAGAGGAAGGCUCGUCCGCUCUGGGUUAGUCGGGUCCUAAGCUGAGGCCGACAGGCGUAGGCGAUGGAUAACAGGUUGAUAUUCCUGUACCACCUAUAAUCGUUUUAAUCGA